rnacentral:lncRNA from 1 species
UUUACAUAACUAGAAAAGUGUAACAAAACGGAUAACUUUACAUCUUUUACAAUUGGUAAAACACAAUCAGGAAAGUGUGGGACUUUCCUAGGGAUACAUUGGUACGUAACCAGAACAGUAUAACAAACCAGAUAACAUAACUGUACAUUUUCACAAGAGUAAACGUGUUUCAGUGUACAACUAUACUUUACAUGUUGAGAACAAAAAAACCAGCCCUUUUAAGAAAAUAUGGGAUUUUUUUGGCGUGUGUAACAUUUUCAGAAACAGAAAGGAAACUCGAACACUUUCACAAAACAAAAACCGCUUAUGAACUCACCAGCGUUAUGCUGAUUUUCAAACCGCUUUUGUUCUCAGGUCAGCGUUAGAACAGGUACCCGAAGAUCAUUUUGUUCCAGGUCGGAGUGCGCAGAAGACUUGUCUCAUUUUUUUUUAUAUAUACGAUGUAUCACAACUAUACAACUUACUUUUGAAACAAAUGUAAUCUUUUCUAUAUGUAAUGUAAUGGUUGUUCUACUUUACUUACUAUGUGCAUUGGAUUUGAUACUCAACAUGGAGUCAACCCUGGAAAUGUUUCCGCCUUCGAUUUUCUGGGUGUGACAGAUUGGUAUCAGAACCCUUGUUUAUAGUGAAUAAAGUAUACCAAACCUUACAUGGUAUAAAACUAUAAACACUAAAAGUUUCUAAGUGCUCUGAAUUAAAAGUAUCUUCAAACUAUAAGUAUUUUCAAAAGUAUACAAGUAUACCGAACCGUCGAGAUCUGUAACUACAAGUAGAACAAAACAUAAGUAAAUGGCUGUUGUGUACUACGGUUAAACUUGGGCAGUUAUGUAGUCGUGUCUAGGAUCAAUAUAGCCUAGCCAACUAUAUUCAUUUGAGACACGGCCAACAUGUGCUUGGGAGUGACUGUGGUAUGCGGCAUGCCUAAAACUUACCCUAAUACCACAAACAUUGAGCCAUUGUCGUAGCGAAUCAUGAAAUACUAUGGGAGUAUUUCUCGAGCCAAUCCUUUGUAGAAAUCCUCGUUCACGUAUAGAUCCUUGAUCAUUCCGUUAGCGAUAGUUUACCUGCUUUGAUAACUCUUUCCUGCUCUAUCGCUUAUUCGGAAUAUAUAUCUGUCAUAUCUCUUGAUUCGAUUCAGAGGAGUUAUCAUCCUCUCUUUUGUUAAUCUUAUUAGAUCAAGAUGCCUCCCAGAAAGAGACCCAGCUCCAAGACCAACAACCCUCCGCCACCACCUCCUCCUGAAAUUGACCCCGUGGUAUUUCAGGCAGCUUUUACCGCCGCGGUAGCAGCUGCUAUGUCCCAAUUAAACACCCGUGGUUCCGGUGGUUCAGGAGGUGGUACUCAAACUUAGGAUCAAGAAAGCAAUCAGGGACACCGAAAGGAGGGUUCCUAUAAGGACAUCAUGAAUGCGAAACCAACAUCCUUCGAUGCCACUGGAGGUGUCAUUUCCUUAUCCAGAUGGUUCGAGAAAAUCGAAUCCAUUUUUGAAAUCUGUGCCUGUGCGGAAUCUGAUAAGGUUAAAUUCGCAGCCUGUACCUUUCUUGACAAAGCCUUGACUUGGUGGAAUGGCCGAGUCAAAUCUCUGACCUUACCCGUAGCCAACGCCAUGGGCUCGGAAGCCAUGAAAGAACUCUUGAUAGCGGAAUACUGCCCCUGUGGUGAAAUGCAGAAACUAGAGCACGAGCUCUGGAGCCUAAGGAUGAAAGGUUCCGACAUUGCUGCAUACACUUCCCGAUUCGAUGAUCUCGCACUUCUCUGCCCGGGACUAGUCACUCCUGAAAGUAAAAAGAUCGAGAGGUUCAUUUGGGGGUUAACUCCACCAACAAAGGGUCAUGUCUUAGCUGCUCGUCCGGAUACCUAUGAUAGUGCCAAGACUUUAGCCCAAACCCUAAUUGAUCACAGUGAUGAUCUCGAGGAAACUACUACCACUCCUGAGCCGACCAAGAGUAGUGGUGAGAAAAGAAAAUUCUAGAAGAAGAAGAAGGGUCAANGUAGCAGUCCAUGCUGCUACUACCCCCGUUGCUGCUGCUUCUGUUGUGGGAUCCACAGCUCCAACUCCUACCAGCCGGUAUGCUGGUAAUCUUCCCCUCUGUGACAAGUGCAAAUACCAUCACAACCCCGGCCCCUGCCGAGAAUUAUCAUGUACAAAUUGUGAUAAAAAGGGGCACACGGUCCGAUUCUGUAAAGCUCCGGCCCAAUCGGCCAUUCAAUCAUCUGGAGCAGGCGUUGGUCAAGCCUGCUAUAACUGUGGAGAGGUUGGGCACUUUAAAAGGGACUGCCCCAAGAAGUCAACAACCGAUAACACCGGGAGAGUCCUAGCCAUAGGACGGGAGGAAGCGGUCGCCGAUCCCACUGUUGUCUCGGGUACGUUCCUUCUCGACAACUCAUAUGCUAGUAUUCUUUUCGAUUCGGGUGCUGAAAGAAGCUUUGUUAGUCAUUCGUUCAAACAUAACCUAAAACAUAAUCCUCAACCUUUAACUGAAACGUUUACCGUCGAGAUGGCUAACGGUGAGAAAGAAAGCGCUAACGAGAUAUUCGUAGGUUGUACCCUUACCCUGAACGACCAUUCAUUUCCUAUCGAUCUCAUGCCGGUUGCCAUAGAGAGCUUUGAUGUCAUCAUUGGCAUGGAUUGGUUGAGUCCCAAUCAUGCUGAUAUCCUCUGUUUCGAAAAAGCCAUCUGUCUCAACCUUCCUUUGGAUCAAACUCUCAUAAUCUAUGGAGAUAAACUCAGUUCCAAUCUUUGUAUCAUUUCCUGCAUCAAAGCUCAAAAGCUCCUGCAAACGGAGUGCAUUGCAAUCUUGGCCCAUGUAAUCAACAAGAAAUAGGAAGUUAAAGACCUCGCGAGCAUCCCCGAAGUCUGUAACUUUCCUGAUGUGUUUCCCGAAGAGCUUCCAGGAAUUCCUCCCGAGCGUCAGGUCGAGUUCCGUAUUGACUUAAUUCCUGGAGCUACUCCUGUAGCGAAGUCUCCGUAUCGCUUAGCUCCAGCAGAAAUGCAGGAGUUAUCCAGCCAACUCAAUGAGUUGCUCAGUAAAGGAUUCAUUAGACCGAGUUCCUCACCUUGGGGAGCUCCGGUAUUGUUUGUCAAGAAGAAAGAUGGAUCCUUUCGGAUGUGUAUCGAUUAUCGCGAGCUGAACAAGUUGACCGUCAAAAACCGAUAUCUUCUUCCGCGAAUAGAUGACCUCUUCGAUCAACUCCAGGGAGCCAGUUACUUCUCCAAGAUAGACCUUCGGUCAGGGUACCAUCAACUACGAGUUCAUGAGAGUGAUGUGUCCAAAACAACUUUCAGAACUCGAUAUGGACACUAUGAGUUCGUAGUGAUGCCAUUCGGUCUAACUAACGCACCAGCAGUUUUCAUGGACCUGAUGAACCGGGUGUGUCAUCCCUAUGUGGAAAAUUUCAUCAUUGUAUUCGUUGAUGACAUACUUGUCUACUCCAGAAGCGAAGAAGAUCACAAACAGCACUUGAGGCUAGUGUUGGAAACCCUUAGAUCCGAGAAGUUGUACGCGAAAUUUUCCAAGUGUGAGCUCUGGAUUCGGAAGGUAACUUUCCUCGGUCACGUGGUAAGCGAGGAGGGUAUUCAUGUGGAUCCUUCCAAGAUUAAAGCGAUAGAGAAUUGGUCGGCACCAAGACACCCACAGAAAUUCGACAAUUCUUGGGUCUCGCCGGCUAUUAUCGAAGAUUUAUCCAGGACUUUUCCAGAAUCGCCAAACCCUUAACCACUCUAACACAGAAAGGUGUACCUUUUUGUUGGAGUGAUAAGCAAGAAACCGAAUUGCAGACGUUGAAGAAAGCCUUGUGCAGCGCGCCUGUUCUGUCCCUACCCGAAGGGACAGAGGAAUUAGUUGUCUACUGCGAUGCGUCCAAUCAAGGCUUAGGCUGUGUGCUUAUGCAAAGAGGAAAGGUAAUUGCUUUUGCCUCUAGACAGCUGAAAGCACAUGAGGUCAACUAUACCACGCAUGACUUGGAAGUAGGAGCUGUAGUUUUUGCAUUGAAAAUUUGGAGACAUUACCUCUACGGAACCAAGUGCACGAUCUUCACUGACCAGAAGAGCUUGCAACACAUCUUUGAUCAGAAGGACUUGAACAUGAGGCAACGGCGAUGGGUAGAACUACUCAGUGAUUAUGAGUGUGAAAUCCGUUACCAUACCGGCAAGGCCAAUGUGGUAGCAGAUGCCCUUAGCCGAAAGGAAAGUUCGGUCCGCAAAGUGAAGAGCCAGACGAUGACCAUCCAUUCCAACUUACCCAUGGAAAUCCGAGAAUCCCAGUUAGAAGCCCUCAAACCCGAGAACGUGUCGACCGAAGACUUAAGAGGAAUGGAAAAGAAACUUGAGAUCAGGGGCGACAGAGUCUACUGCUUCAUGGAUUGGAUCUGGAUUCCAAAGUCCGGAGGAUUCAGGGAGAUUGUUAUGGAGGAAGCACACAAGACCAGAUACUCUGUUCACACGGGUUCGGACAAGAUGUACCUAAUUCUCAAGAAACAAUACUGGUGGCCAAACAUGAAAGCUGAGAUAGCUACAUUCAUGGGCAAGUGUCUGACUUGCGCCAAGGUUAAAGUUGAGCACCAGAAACCCUCGGGUCUGCUCCAACAGCCUGAGAUACCCGAAUGGAAAUGGGAGAUGAUUACCAUGGACUUCAUCACCAAACUACCCAAGUGUCCGAGUGGGUACGACACCAUUUGGGUAAUUGUCGAUCAUCUGACAAAGUCCGCCCACUUCAUCUUAAUCAAAGAAUCAUUCAAGAUGGAAAGACUUACGCGAAUCUACAUCCAAGAGGUAGUUGGACUUCAUGGUGUACCUGCGUCCAUUAUCUCUGAUCGAGAUAGCAAGUUUACCUCCAGAUUCUGGCAGUCUCUCCAGAAAGCCCUUGGAACCAAAUUAGACAUGAGCACGACAUAUCAUCCUCAGACUGACGGACAAAGUGAGAGAACUAUCCAAAACCUGGAGGACAUGCUUAGAGCAUGUGUCAUUGAUUUUGGAAAGUCGUGGGACACACAUCUACCUUUGAUCGAGUUCUCGUACAACAAUAGUUACCACACCAGCAUCAGGGCUGCCCCGUUUGAAGCCCUUUAUGGUCGCAAGUGCAGAUCCCCUCUGUGUUGGGCCGAGGUGGGGGAUACACAAUUAGCCAAGAGUCGAGUCCCCGACAAUGCUCUCACUGGUCCUGAAAUCAUCCGUAAAACCACUAAGAAAAUCAUCCAAAUCUGGGAACGAUUGAAAGCUUCACGAGAUCGCCAAAAGAGUUACGCUGAUAACCGCUGGAAACCUCUGGAAUUCCAGGUUGGAGACCGUGUCCUGUUGAAGGUCUCGCCCUGCAAAGGCACGGUACGCUUUGGAAAGCGUGGGAAACUUAACCCUAGGUACAUUGGACCCUUCGAGAUCCUCGCCAGGAUUGGUCCGGUAGCCUAUAAACUUCGUUUACCCCACGAGCUCAGUAACAUCCAUCCCGUCUUCCAUGUUUCAAAUCUCAAGAAGUGCCUAUCCGAUGAAACCCUAGUGAUUCCUUUAGACGAGAUCGAGAUCAAUGUAGACCUCAACUUCGUGGAGGAACCGAUCGAAAUCAUGGAUCGAGAAGUCAAACGUACAAAGCAAAGCCGCAUCCCGUUAGUGAAGGUCCGCUGGAAUGCCAAGCGGGGACCGGAGUUCACUUGGGAGCGGGAAGACUCAAUGAAGCAGAAGUAUCCGCAACUCCUUCCAUAUCCAUGAUUUGCAUCUUGUCUUGUAUCUCAAUUUUGAAUUUAGGACGAAAUUCCCUCUAACAGGGGGAUAAUGUGACAACCCGAAACUUCUAACCCAUGCAAUUGAUCUAGCACUAAAACUUGAGUUCAUUGUCUUUUAUUAAAUCUUGUGGUUUCAUUGAGUGCUCUAGACUUAGUAUAAUCUAAGAUAUGAAUCUUAGGAAGGGUUGGAGAGUGUUUAGUAUCACAAUAUCGGGCCAAACUCACCAAAUAAGGUGUGUGAGGCCACACACUUGUGUGUGCGCCCGCACACCUGUGUGNUGUGUGUACGGCCACACACCCAACCGCAAACACCCUCAACCUCACACCCAAUUCAAUUUAUGGAUGGAUACCUAUUCAUUCAUUCAUUCAUUUAGAUGUUCUCUUUCCUCUCUAUACUUUCUCUCUCUAAAUUAUCAACCAAGAACACUUGGAAGGCUUCAUAACCGUGAUCUACUUCAUCUUCAAGCUAAGUAUAGUGGUAAACACUUGAAUCCCAAGCUUAAAACUCAUUAUGUUCAUCAUAUUCAUCAUCCCAUGAAGGUGUACGGCCGCACACCUUCAUAUGGGGGCAGCACACAUUCAAAACUCCCAAGUAUGAAGAGCAUACACUUCAAAAAUCAACAUAUGGACUCAAAUGAGGAGUGUACNGUUUGGAUCAUAGGACACUUAUUCUUAGUAAUUCCAAGCCCUAAGGAUGUUUUCCCAUCAUGUUUAGUCAUGGAAAACCUUAGUUCUAACUCAUUUAUGUGUCAUCACAUGAAAAAUAGGGGCCAUAGGAGUUCAGGGCAUCUGUUGACACUCGAUCUCUACAUUAAGCGGUGAGUUCAUACCCCUACCCUUUAUCACUGUUUUUCACUGUUUUCAGGGGGGAAACACAAGCAAAGUACAAGGGAUUACUUGCACUCAAAACUUGUUUUCAUGUGUGUGUUUCACAUUUUAUAUGCUUUUAACACUGAUUGAUACAACUGAUAAUCGUUUGAACAUGCAGAUCACGUAAACAUAUUAUUUGUGAAAUGGGUUUAUAAACUGUUAUGUUUUACAUAUUCCACAAAUGGUUUCUACAUUUUAUCAGUUAAAAGCAUGUCAUUAGAACUUUUGAAACAUAAAAAUUGAACACUAUAUAUCCUCGGUAACACUCGACAGAGAUACGCGAGUGGAGGACUGCACUCGUAACCAGAAUCUAUGGGAUUAGUGAGCGUGACUUGAGUGUAUAGUUCUAUACGGGGCUGACUACCCCACACCUGGCUGCUAGCUACAGCCGAACCGAAAUGGUUCAAGGGUGACGAAAGUCAUAAGGUGAUGUGGACUACUUAUUGCCAUAUCUAGUCUAUCGUAUGGUUAUGGAACUCGCAAUUAGGAUAACAGUGAUUUACUUAAUAGUAAUAAUGAAUAACUUAACACAUUUUACAAGAUAACCAGGUUUCAGAAUACAUCUUUUACAUUGAUAACCAACAUUCAGGAAAGUAUGGGGCUUUCUUGGGGAACGUUUACAUAACUAGAAAAGUGUAACAAAACGGAUAACUUUACAUCUUUUACAAUUGGUAAAACACAAUCAGGAAAGUGUGGGACUUUCCUGGGGAUACAUUGGUACGUAACCAGAACAGUAUAACAAACCAGAUAACAUAACUGUACAUUUUCACAAGAGUAAACGUGUUUCAGUGUACAACUAUACUUUACAUGUUGAGAACAAAAAAACAAGCCCUUUUAAGAAAAUAUGGGAUUUUCUUGGCAUGUGUAACAUUUUCAGAAACAGAAAGGAAACUCGAAAACUUUCACAAAACAAAAACCGCUUAUGAACUCACCAGCGUUAUGCUCAUUUUCAAACCACUUGUAUUCUCAGGUCAGCGUUAGAACAGGUACCCGAAGAUCAUUUUGUUCCAGGUCGGAGUGCGCAGAAGACUUGUCUCGUUUUGUUUAUAUAUACUAUGUAUCACAACUAUACAAUUUACUUUUGAAACAAAUGUAAUCUUUUCUAUAUGUAAUGUAAUGGUUGUUCUACUUUACUUACUAUGUGCAUUGGAUUUGAUACUCAACAUGGAGUCAACCCCGGAAAUGUUUCUGCCUUCGGUUUUAUGGGUGUGACAGAUUGGUAUCAGAGCCCUUGUUUAUAGUGAAUAAAGUAUACCAAACCUUACAUGGUAUAAAACUAUAAACACUAAAAGGGCCUAAGUGCUCUAAAUUAAAAGUAUCUUCAAACUAUAAGUAUUUUCAAAAGUAUACAAGUAUACCGAACCGUCGAGAUCCGUAACUACAAGUAGAACAAAACAUAAGUAACGGGGUGUUGUGUACUACGGUUAAACCUGGGCAGUUAUGUAGUCGUGUCUAGGAUCAAUAUAGCCUGGCCAACUAUAUUCAUUCGAGACACGGCCAACAUGUGCUUGUGAGUGACUGUGGUAUGCGGCAUGCCUAAAACUUACCCUAAUACCACAAACAUUGAGCCAGUGUCGUAGCGAAUCAUGAAAUACUAUGGGAGUAUUUCUAGAGCCAAUCCUUUGUAGAAAUCCUCGUUCACGUAUAGAUCCUUGAUCAUUCCGUUAGCGAUAGUUUACCUGCUUUGAUAACUCUUUCCUGCUUUAUCGCUUAUUCGGAAUAUAUAUCCGUCAUAUCUCUUGAUUCGAUUCAGAGGACUUAUCAUCCUCUCUUUUGUUGAUCUUAUUAGAUCAAGAUGCCUCCCAGAAAGAGACUCAACUCCAAGACCAACAACCCUACGCCACCACCUCCUCCUGAAAUUGACCCCAUGGUAUUUCAGGCAGCUAUUACCACCGCAGUGGCAGCUGUUAUGUCCCAAUUAAACACCCGUGGUUUCGGUGGUUCAGGAGGUGGUACUCAAACUCAGGACCAAGAAAGCAAUCAGGACACCAAAAGGAGGGUUCGUGAAAGGACUUCAUGAAUGCGAAACCAACAUCCUUCGAUGCCACUGGAGGUGUCAUUUCCUUAUCCCGAUGGUUCGAGAAAAUCGAAUCCAUUUUUGAAAUCUGUGCCUGUGCGGAAUCUGAUAAGGUUAAAUUCGCAGCCUGUACCUUUCUUGACAAAGCCUUGACUUGGUGGAAUGGCCGAGUCAAAUCUCUGACCUUACCCGUAGCCAACGCCAUGGGCUCGGAAGCCAUGAAAGAACUCUUGAUAGCGGAAUACUGCCCCCGUGGUGAAAUGCAGAAACUAGAGCACGAGCUCUGGAACCUAAGGAUGAAAGGUUCCGACAUUGCUGCAUACACUUCCCGAUUCGAUGAUCUCGCACUUCUCUGCCCGGGACUAGUCACUCCUGAAAGUAAAAAGAUCGAGAGGUUCAUUUGGGGGUUAACUCCACCAACAAAGGGUCAUGUAUUAGCUGCUCGUCCGGAUACCUAUGAUAGUGCCAAGACUUUAGCCCAAACCCUAAUUGAUCACAGUGAUGAUGUCGAGGAAACUACUACCACUCCUGAGCCGACCAAGAGUAGUGGUGAAAAAAGAAAAUUCUGGAAGAAGAAGAAGGGUCAAUCUUCCCAAGGGUCCUCCAAAAGACAGCAUACAGUGGCAGUCCAUGCUGCUACUACCCCCGUUGCUGCUGCUUCUGUUGUGGGAUCCACAACUCCAACUCCUACCAGCCGGGAUGCUGGUAAUCUUNUUGUGGGAUCCACAGCUCCAACUCCUACCAGCCGGUAUGCUGGUAAUCUUCCCCUCUGUGACAAGUGCAAAUACCAUCACAACCCCGGCCCCUGCCGAGAAUUAUCAUGUACCAAUUGUGAUAAAAAGGGGCACACGGUCCGAUUCUGUAAAGCUCCGGCCCAAUCGGCCAUUCAAUCAUCUGGAGCAGGCGUUGGUCAAGCCUGCUAUAACUGUGGAGAGGUUGGGCACUUUAAAGGGGACUGCCCCAAGAAGUCUACAACCGAUAACACCGGGAGAGUCCUAGCCAUAGGACGGGAGGAAGCGGUCGCCGAUCCCACUGUUGUCUCGGGUACGUUCCUUCUCGACAACUCAUAUGCUAGUAUUCUUUUCGAUUCGGGUGCUGAAAGAAGAUUUGUUAGUCAUUCGUUCAAACAUAACCUAAAACAUAAUCCCUAACCGUUAACUAAAACGUUUACCGUCGAGAUGGCUAACGGUGAGAAAGAAAGGGCUAACGAGAUAUUCGUAGGUUGUACCCUUACCCUGAACGACCAUUCAUUUCCUAUCGAUCUCAUGCCGGUUUCCAUAAAGAGCUUUGAUGUCAUCAUUGGCAUGGAGUGGUUGAGUGCCAAUCAUGCUGAUAUCAUCUGUUUCAAAAAAGCCAUCCGUCUCAACCAUCCUGUGGAUCAAACUCUCAUAAUCUAUGGCGAUAAACGCAGUUCCAAUCUUCGUAUCAUUUCCUUCAUCAAAGCUCAAAAGCUCCUGCGAAAGGAGUGCAUUGCGUUCUUGGCCCAUGUAAUCAACAAGAAACAGGAAGUUAAAGACCUCACGAGCAUCCCCGAAGUCUGUAACUUUCAUGAUGUGUUUUCCGAAGAGCUUCCAGGAAUUCCUCCUGAGCGUCAGGUCGAGUUCCGUAUUGACCUAAUUCCUGGAGCUACUCCCGUAGCGAAGUCUCCGUAUCGCUUAGCUCCAGCCGAAAUGCAGGAAUUAUCCAGCCAACUCAAUGAGUUGCUCAGCAAAGGAUUCAUUAGACCGAGUUCCUUACCUUGGGGAGCUCUGGUAUUGUUUGUCAAGAAGAAAGAUGGAUCCUUUCGGAUGUGUAUCGAUUAUCACGAGCUGAACAAGUUGACCGUCAAAAAUCGAUAUCUUCUUCCGUGAAUAGAUGACCUCUUCGAUCAACUCCAGGGAGCCAGUUACUUCUCCAAGAUAGACCUCCGGUCAGGGUACCAUCAACUACGAGUUCAUGAGAGUGAUGUGUCCAAAACAACUUUCAGAACUCGAUAUCGACACUAUGAGUUCGUAGUGAUGCCCUUUGGUCUAACUAACGCACUGGCAGUGUUCAUGGACCUGAUGAACCGGGUGUGUCGUCCCUAUCUGGAAAAGUUCGUCAUUGUAUUCGUUGAUGACAUACUUGUCUACUCCAGAAGCGAAGAAGAUCACAAACAGCACUUGAGGCUAGUGUUGGAAACCCUUAGAUCCGAGAAGUUAUACGCGAAAUUUUCCAAGUGUGAGCUCUGGAUUCAGUAGGUAACUUUCCUCGGUCACGUGGUAAGCGAGGAGGGUAUUCAUGUGGAUCCUUCCAAGAUUAAAGCGAUAGAGAAUUGGUCGGCACCGAAGACACCCACAGAAAUUCGACAAUUCUUGGGUCUCGCCGGCUAUUAUCGGAGAUUUAUCCAGGACCUUUCCAGAAUCGCCAAACUACCCAAGUGUCCGAGUGGGUACGACACCAUUUGGGUAAUUGUCGACCGUCUAACAAAGUCCGCCCACUUCAUCUCAAUCAAAGAAUCAUUCAAGAUGGAAAGACUUACGCGAAUCUACAUCCAAGAGGUAGUUCGACUUCACGGUGUACCUAAAUCCAUUAUCUCUGAUCGAGAUAGCAAGUUUACCUCCAGAUUCUGGCAGUCUCUCCAGAAGGCUCUUGGAACCAAACUAGACAUGAGUACGAAUUAUCAUCCUCAGACCAUUGGACAGAGUGAGAGAACUGUACAAACCCUGGAGGACAUGCUUAGAGCAUGUGUCAUUGAUUUCAGAAAGUCGUGGGACACACACUUGCCUUUGAUCGAGUUCUCAUACAACAACAGUUACCACACCAGCAUCAAAGCUGCUCCGUUUGAAGCCCUCUACGGUCGCAAGUGCAGAUCCCCUCUGUGCUGGGCCGAGGUAGGGGACACGCAGCUAGCCAAGAGUCGAGNCGUGUCUUGUUGAAAGUCUCGCUCUGGAAAGGCACGGUAUGCUUUGGAAAGCGUGGGAAACUUAACCCUAGGUACAUUGGACCCUUCGAGAUCCUCGCCAGGAUUGGUCCGGUAGCCUAUAAACUUCGUUUACCCCACGAGCUCAGUAACAUCCAUCCCGUCUUCCAUGUUUCAAAUCUCAAGAAGUGCCUAUCCGAUGAAACCCUAGUGAUUCCUUUAGACGAGAUCGAGAUCAAUGUAGACCUCAACUUCGUGGAGGAACCGAUCGAAAUCAUGGAUCGAGAAGUCAAACAUACAAAGCAAAGCCGCAUCCCGUUAGUGAAGGUCCGCUGGAAUGCCAAGCGGGGACUGGAGUUCACUUGGGAGCGGGAAGACUCAAUGAAGCAGAAGUAUCCGCAACUCUUUCCAGAUCCAUGAUUUGUAUCUUGUCUCGUAUCUUAAUUUGGAAUUCAGGACGAAAUUCCCUCUAACAGGGGGAUAAUAUGACAACCCGAAACUUCUAACCCAUGCAAUUGAUCUAGCACUAAAACUUGAGUUCAUUGUCUUUUAUUAAAUCUUGUGGUUUCAUUGAGUGCUCUAGAGUUAGUAUAAUCUAAGAUAUGAAUCUUAGGAAGGGUUGGAAAGUGUUUAGUAUCACAAUAUCGGGCCAAACUCACCAAAUAAGGUGUGUGCGGCCACACACUUGUAUGUUCGGCCACACACCCAACCACAAACACCCUCAACCUCACAUCCAAUUCAAUUUAUGGAUGGAUACCUAUUCAUUCAUUCAUUCAUUUAGAUGUUCUCUUCCCUCUCUCUACUUUCUCUCUCUAAAUCAUCAACCAAGAACACUUGGAAGGCUUCAUAAUCGUGAUCUACUUCAUCUUCAAGCUAAGUAUAGUGGUAAACACUUGAAUCCCAAGCUUAAAACUCAUUAUGUUCAUCAUAUUCAUCAUCCCAUGAAGGUGUACGGCCGCACACCUUCAUAUGGGGGCAGCACACAUUCAAAACUCCCAAGUAUGAAGAGCAUACACUUCGAAAAUCAACAUAUGGACUCAAAUGAGGAGUGUACGGCCGCACACUCCUGUGUACGGCCACACACACACCCUCUGUAUGGCCGCACACUCUUGUGUGCUGCGUUACACACACUCCUAGCCGCACUCCCCAACCGCACACUCAUUUUCAAGACCAUACACCCACUCUAAUACCCAUAUUUGGCCCUAAACAUGCAUAAAUCAUUAAGUUUGGAUCAUAGGACACUUAUUCUUAGUAAUUCCAAGCCCUAAGGAUGUUUUCCCAUCAUGUUUAGUCAUGAAACACCUUAGUUCUAACUCAUUUAUGUGUCGUCACAUGAAAAAUAGGGGCCAUAGGAGUUCAGGGCAUCCGUUGACACUCGAACUCUACAUUAAGCGGUGAGUUCAUACCCCUACCCUUUUUCACUGUUUUUAACUGUUUUCAGGGGGGAACACAAGCAAAGUACAAGGGUUUCUUGUACUCAAAACUUAUUUUCGUGUGUGUGUUUCACAUUUCAUAUGCUUUUAACACUGAUAUACACAACUGAUAACCGUAUGAACAUGCAGAUCACGUAACAUAUUAUUUGUGAAAUGGGUUUUAUAAACUGUUAUGUUUUAUAUAUUUCACAAAUGGUUUUCCACAUUUUAUCAGUUAAAAGCAUGACAUUAGAACCUUUGAACAUAAAACUCUGUACACUGUUUUGUCCUCGGUAACACUCCACAGAGAUACGCGAGUGGAGGACUAUCAUAUUAUUACUAGUAAAUUUGUUAGUCCUGUAUGAUUGGAGACACGUCCUCGGUGAACACUCCACAGAGAUACGCGAGUGGAGGACUACACCCGUAACCAGAAUCUCUGGGAUUAGAGAGCGUGACUUGAGUGUAUAGAUCUAUACGGGGCUGACUACCCCACACCUGGCUGCUAGCUACAGCCGAACCGAAAUGGUUCAAGGGUGACGAAAGUCAUAAGGUGAUGUGGACUACUUAUUGCCAUAUCUAGUCUAUCGUAUGGUUAUGGAACUCGCAAUUAGGAUAACAGUGAUUUACUUAAUAGUAAUAAUGAAUAACUUAACAUAUUUUACAAGAUAACCAGUUUUCAGAAUACAUCUUUUACAUUGAUAACCAACAUUCAGGAAAGUAUGGGGCUUUCCUAGGAAAUGUUUACAUAACUAAAAAGGUGUAACAAAACGGAUAACUUUACAUCUUUUACAAUUGGUAAAACACAAUCAGGAAAGUGUGGGACUUUCCUGGGGAUACAUUGGUACGUAACCAAAACAGUAUAACAAACCAGAUAACAUAACUGUACAUUUUCACAAGAGUAAACGUGUUUCAGUGUACAACUAUACUUUACAUGUUGAGAACAAAAAAACCAGCCCUUUUAAGAAAAUAUGGGAUUUUUUUCGCGUGUGUAACAUUUUCAGAAACAGAAAGGAAACUCGAACACUUUCACAAAACAAAAACCGCUUAUGAACUCACCAGCGUUAUGCUGAUUUUCAAACCGCUUUUGUUCUCAGGUCAGCGUUAGAACAGGUACCCGAAGAUCAUUUUGUUCC